CCGCCCCGCCGGAAGGGGAGCCGCGGCCUCUCCCCGCCGGCCCCCGAGGAAAGGCCGGCAGCGCCGGGAGCCCGGGGCCCCGCUAUGGAGGAGGGCAGCGGCUGCCGCCUCUCGGCCGAGUGCCUGGACGAGCCGCCCAACAGCCGCGUCUUCGUGGUGCUGGGCAAGGACACCAGCGAGGCGCUGAUCAGGGAGCGCUUUGCUCCCUUCGGGGACAUCCAGAACGUCUGGCUGCUGCGGGACAAGCGCACCAACGAGUCCCGCGGCAUCGCCUUCAUCAAGUUCGCCCGCAGCUCGCAGGCCUGCCGGGCCAUGGAGGAGAUGCACGGCCGCAGCCUGCUCCCCGACGCCAAGCCCAUCAAGGUAUUUAUUGCACAGUCAAGAGCUUCUGGAAGCCACCGAGAUGUUGAAGAUGAGGAGCUUACACGAAUCUUUGUUAUGAUACCAAAAACCUUUACAGAGGAAGAUCUGCAAGAGAACUUUAAGAUGUAUGGAGACAUUGAAUAUUGCAGCAUAAUUAAAAACAAGACUACUGGAGAAAGUAAAGGUUUGGGCUACGUGCGGUAUUUAAAACCAUCGCAAGCUGCCCGAGCAAUUGAAGAGUGUGAUCGAAGCUACAGGGCCAUUUUGGCUGAACCUAAAAAUAAGUCAUCUGAGUCUUUUGAACAUGAGUAUUACAGCAGUAGCAUGAGGCAAGAACUAAGAGGAAAUACACUUCCAUGUUGUGUGCAGCCAGAGUUUUGCAGCUUUGAAAAAAAUGACAGCAGAAUUCAGGAGCCUCUCUCCAAACGUCUGUCAGUGGUCUCACGGCUUCCCUUUACUCAAGAGCAGCUGUUUGCCCUCUUUGAUCUAGUCCCAGGACUGGAAUAUUGUGACGUUCAACGAGAUCCUCAUACCAAUAGUGGGUAUGCUGUGAUUCAGUACAGUACUGCUGCAUCAGCCAUAUAUGCCAAGUAUAAGUUACACGGUUUUGAAUAUCCUCCUGGAAAUCGAUUAACUGUCAUUUUCCUAGACGAUGGAAGUGAUAGCUCAGAUCUCAUCAGAAAAAUGGCAACACAGCUAGUAACAGCACAGGUGUCAUCAGUUUUGUGGAAUAACAAUGCAAUUGUUCAGCAGUAUAGGACCCCUCCUCAGGCAUUGGGAGGAACUUCUGGCUCAUCAUUAGUCCAGCCCCAAACAGAUGCUAUACUUCCACCACACAAAAAAAAAGAUCCACCUGACACUUGUGUGAAGGAAAGGCUUUUCAUACUUUUUCAUCCUCAUCCUCUACCUGUAAAUGUAUUGGAGGAUGUGUUCUGUCGUUUUGGGCACUUGAUAAAAGUUUAUCUUGUGGCUGGAAAAAAUGUGGCCUAUGCAAAAUUUGCAGACAGAGCAAGUGCCAGUGAUGCCAUAACUGCGUUACAUGGCAAGAUUGUGAAUGGUGUCAGGCUUAAAGUGAGACUGGCAGACUCGCCUUCAGAAGAAUCUAACAAGCGUCUGAGAACUUACUGAGCAGAGAUGUCUGCAACACCAGGCACCUCCACUCUUUCAAUUACUGUAGCACUGAGUAAGAAACAGAGGAAGGAACAAUCAUACGUACGUGGAAGCUGCUGAAGAGGUCACUGGUGCCUUGGGUGUGCAGGAGGAGGCUGCAACUGAAAAUUGACACUACUGAAAACCUUCAUCUGCUUCUCAGGACAAGGACGUGAAGAUGGCCUCGAUGCCGUAAGUAACGACAUUCUUGGAAUUCUAUCCUGGUGGCAAUCUGAACCAGAUGAUCUCUGCUGUGGCUUUGGAAAAGUAAAGUAGGUAGUUCUCAAAGAGUGCAGAGGAAACUGUACCCCUGUAACCCUUUAUAAAUUUAUUCUAGGGGGUGUACUGAGAUAAGCAUUUUUUAAAUAUUGAAGUUUUAAAGAACUUGGCCUAGAAUGAAAACUAGAGUGCUGGUAAUAUCCAGAAGGGUGAUAAGGGUUUUAUUAACAAACUUUCCAAAGCAGGGUUGGAAGGCUUCCUUUCUUUCUUUUGGCUGUUGUUUAAAAUGUAUAGCUUAAAAGUGUUUAUACUGCUUUGGUUUUGCAGUUUACACAAUAAAGAAAUCUUAUGCAUUUUACUGAAGAUGAGGCCAUGGGACUACUAUUCAUUGCAAAAAUCAAGUAUGAAACAAACUCUUUUCCUUAUAUUUGAGUGGAGAUAACUAGCUAUACAGAGUAUCAACCAUACAGAUUUUGUUUAAAUGAGAUUUACCCACUCCAGCUGAUAUGUCAUGUUUAUCUUCAGGGAUUCUUGGAGUUCUGCCAAACUGCAUUUCAGAUUUGCUUUUCAGAUUUCUAGUUUAUUGUAUUUAAUAGGAAUAUUCUUAAUAGAACUCUUAUAAUUUGUGAUUAUCUAUGUAAGAUGAUUAUCUGUCAUUUGAGUUUUAAAGCAUCUCCGGCUGGUUCUACUUCCCUUUCCAGUUUCUUCUAUGAGAAGAAAUCACUAUCUCCUUUCCAAGAUGUCCAAGAAUGGUUUAGAUUUAUUCUUGUGAUGAUCUAUGGAUAUGGAAAGUAUUUUCAUUAUAUUCAAUAUGUAUGUUAUUAUGAUUCAGGAUUUAUCUUGCUUCAUACUUCCCCAGUCUUGUAUAAAGGAGAGAAAAAUAGUGCUGAUCUGAAUAGAUUGAUGCAUAUGGAUUAACACUGCUGAAACUGAAGAGCAAAGUGUUCAGAAAACAGUUCUUCCAAAAUCUCUUCAGGGCAAUGUAAAAACACCCAAAAAGGAUAGAUCAAGAGCUAAGAGUCUGAUUUGACUCCCAGUGAAGAUGGUAAAAGGCAGGAGUAUGCUUUCAUACCUAGAGAUGCUGCUUGUCCUUGGGUUCUCACACCUAAGUGAGCAGAAAGAAAAGAAUAAACAAUCUGAAUAGCUGUAGAGAACCAGCAUAAACAUCCAUUUAAUGUGGUGUCCUGCUCUCCACAGUGGCUGGAAACUGAUGCCUUUGGAGAGCAGUGCCUUCCAGAAGGCACCUUUCAAACAGGAACUGCAAAGGAAAUUAUUGUGCUCAAAAGCUACAGAUAGCUUUCAUUCAUUCAUAUAAUCCCUGCUUAAAAACAUCUGUCUCUUCAGCUUUGUAGUUUUGUAUAGCAGCAAGACAUCUAAUUUACUAACACUGCGUGGAAGAGUUCUUCUCAGCUGUUGUUUUAUAAACUCGCUGCCUGAUCACUUACUGAAGUCUUGUAUGAUGGAAAACAGCACAUGAUCAUUUCCUGUCAGCCUUCUAUGAAUCAUUUGGGAUUUUAUAGGUUGGAAGAUAAUCCUUUCUCAGUCUGUUCUCCAGCUAUAAGUUCUUUCCUCAUGCAGAUGUAUUCCCACACCUUUGCAUAUUCUUUUAGCCUCAUUCAUGCAUUUUCUAGUUCCACAUUUUCAUGUGAAGGAACCAGAACUGUAUACAGAGCUCAAGUGCACAAGAGAUACACACAGAAGUGUAAUGAACUCUUCUGCUUUAUUCUGUUGCUUUUGGAGUAAUUUAUAACAUUUUUGCCUUCAGCUUGCUACUCAGCAGUAGUCCAGGUUUGCAGAAAACUACUCACAAUAACUCCAAAUGAUAAAGGGUAAUUUAGAGUCCAUUGUUACAUAUAUCUAGUUAGGUUUGUUUUCAUUGCUGUUUACAUUAGUUUGCAGUUAUUGACAUAGACUUUCAUCCACCAUCUCAUUGCCCUGUCACUCUCUAUUGUCAGAUCCUUCUACAGCUGCUUAGUCAACUUUCAUUUUGCUUACCGUAAGUAAUUUUGCAUCAGUCAGAAGCCUGGGAGUUUCUUCUUCCUUACAGAAGUAAUUCUAGGCUAUUCAGGUGCAACAGUACUUGGCCUGAAGUAUUUUAAGUAAUUCAGCCCUAAGGAGGACUCAAAGAACCAAGUAAAUAAUGUUGUGUUGUAUGGUCAGUAUCUGUGACAGAAAGAGGCGUUGAUCUGGUUUCCUACUCAGGAUGGAGUUAUCUUAUGUCAGUCCUGAUGGUAGCUGUGAUUUCUGAUACUUGAAGAUGGCUUUUCAGUCUUCUGGCAUUCUGGUACUCCAGGGCACACCCAGUUAAUCUCACUGGAGCUUGCCUUUUGCUGCCUGUUGCAGUUGAAAUGUUUUGACGCAGUGAUGAUUUCACAGUGAUUCAUAAAUUAUUAGUGGUGUAAGGUAGAUCAGUGGUUAAAUUUUAGCAGCACUUAUUGAUAAAACAAUUUGAAAUUAACAAGUGAUUAAAUAUAUAUAUAUAAAAUAAUCAAAACAGUGGCUUUAUUACAGCUUAGAUAAUUACAAGAUUUAUGCUGACUUAAGACAGGGUUUCCUAAACUGAUAGAUAGAUAGAUAGAUAGAUAGAUAGAUAGAUAGAUAGAUAGAUAGAUAGAUAGAUAGAGUAUGCAUACACAGAUACAAGUAUUUGGGCCCAGUAAAACAGAAGAGGCUUGCCUAUAGUUUAAACGUGCCUAUUUGAGUAUGGAGAAAAUACACACAAUGCAUCAGCAUUCCUCAGCGAGUGAGAAUUGAAACUCAAGGAGGACAAACUCACCAGGUUUUCCAUCACCUUUGUUGGCAGAUGGUCCUCGAGUGUGUGUGUCCCAGCCUGGGGGAGAUUCCUGGUCACAGUGCACUAUAAACCAGGAUUGCUCAAAGGGUCUUGCUUAGAAUUGCUAUUUAUGGGGUCCAAGAUAACUGACUUUUAUGAGAUACUUUUCCAUUUCAGCCCAUCUUGGAUGAUGCAAUAUUCUGGUGCUUUCUGCCAGUGCAUGUGCCCAGAGCUUGCUAGAUUUUGGAGUUCUGGUGAGUUCUGGCACUGCCCCACUGUGGGCUACAACCCAAGUGCAGGUGUAUUAGGCUGUCAGGAGGUGAUUGAUCAUCAAUACUGUUCCUGGGAAUAAAGGGGGUGUCAGGAGCCAGGUUUGCCAAGGGGGCACAUUAAUGCUCUAAUCCACUGCUUUUAAUAUAGGUAUACAUGUAUUACAUUGCCAGGAGGUAAUAGAUUGUCAUUAUUGUCCCCAAAGUACAGGGGGAGCAGAAGCCAGGGGCAUUAUGGGGUUGCCUAAGUGUUCUGGUGCACUGCCUUUCAGAAUCCACACCUGACUUCCCAAGUUGGUGUGUGACCUGGGAGGGGGAAUCACACCAAGUACCAAGUGGCCCAAGAGCAGAGGGGUUGCAUCAUCUCACUGCCUUUACAGUGUGUGCUCUAUGAGCCUCCUGCUGCCUAAUUUGUUUUAUUAUCAGCCGGUCCUUAAUAGUCUUUGGUACUCUUAUUUCAUGCUUGUUUUUCAAAGCAUUUCCAGUUCACUGGUUACUACUGCUGUACUCUUACUGUUUUGCAUAAUUUUAAUUAAUUUGCAAAAAAGGCAAGACGUAAUUUGUGAAAAUCUUUUACAAAAAUAUGCCUUGCCUUAGGGUACUGUUUUGCCAAACACACACAAACCCUAACAAUAACUGACAGCAAAGAAACAAAAAUAUUGGUACUACAGGAGAAAAUAAGAAGGUAGUCUUCAGAUUCUGUAAGUAAAUAUUUGCAAUGCCCACAGAUCUGCUUAUCCACGUAUUUUAUUUAUAAACUUCACUGCUGCCUAAAUUAAAGAAUGGCACAUUUCAAAGUAAUUUGUCCUGUGAAGAAUCAUGGAAGGAAUUCUGUGGUUUAACCUGGGGAAAUGUUAUCUUUGCAUGGAGAGUUGAACUAUGUUUUACAGCUUUCCUUUUUGAGAACAUGCCUCCCAGCUGCUAAUGAGACUAAACCUGAAGAAGAACAGAUCAAGUUCUUGGAUGGAUAAAAUAGAAUGUAGCUCCUCUCCUGUGUUCUUACCUCAGCAUUUCUUCGAUAUAUGCAAAGUUUUGUUCCUGGUGGUAUAAACUAUGAGUAAAUAUCAGUGAAAAAAAUUCUUACAUCAUUGAGUAACAACUGCACUGAUUUUCAAAAAGUUUAAAUAAGACUGUAUAGGAUCAGCUUACAUCAACACUUUUUGCCAGUGUUUCUGAAGUGAUAUGGUUAUAAUCUACAGAUAUGUCAUUGUGAAUCCAUCCAAAUAAAAGCUUAUUUAAAGAGUAAAAAGUUUUAUGUAGGCAAGCCCUAGAAUUUGAGGAGGGCAUUCAGUAAUAUUUUGUCAUCCAUCAUCUAUGUAAUAAUUAUAGAAUUAAGAAAAAUAAAAUUAAACUGCCUUUCUAGAUGUUUGUUUCUCUUGAGUUAAGU